rnacentral:rRNA from 1 species
UGGGGAAUUUUGGACAAUGGGGGCAACCCUGAUCUAGCAAUGCCGCGUGCGUGAAGAAGGCCUUCGGGUUGUAAAGCACUUUUGUCCGGAAAGAAAUCGCGCUGGUUAAUACCUGGCGUGGAUGACGGUACCGGAAGAAUAAGCACCGGCUAACUACGUGCCAGCAGCCGCGGUAAUACGUAGGGUGCGAGCGUUAAUCGGAAUUACUGGGCGUAAAGCGUGCGCAGGCGGUUUUGUAAGACAGGCGUGAAAUCCCCGGGCUUAACCUGGGAAUUGCGCUUGUGACUGCAAGGCUAGAGUGCGUCAGAGGGGGGUAGAAUUCCACGUGUAGCAGUGAAAUGCGUAGAGAUGUGGAGGAAUACCGAUGGCGAAGGCAGCCCCCUGGGACGUGACUGACGCUCAUGCACGAAAGUGUGGGGAGCAAACAGGAUUAGAUACCCUGGUAGUCCACGCCCUAAACGAUGUCAACUAGUUGUUGGGGAUUCAUUUUCUCAGUAACGUAGCUAACGCGUGAAGUUGACCGCCUGGGGAGUACGGUCGCAAGAUUA